rnacentral:rRNA from 1 species
GACGAACGCUGGCGGCGUGCUUAACACAUGCAAGUCGAACGGAAAGGCCCUGCUUGCAGGGUACUCGAGUGGCGAACGGGUGAGUAACACGUGGGUGAUCUGCCCCGCACUUCGGGAUAAGCCUGGGAAACUGGGUCUAAUACCGGAUAGGAGCCAUUUUUAGUGUGAUGGUUGGAAAGUUUUUUCGGUGUAGGAUGAGCUCGCGGCCUAUCAGCUUGUUGGUGGGGUAAUGGCCUACCAAGGCGGCGACGGGUAGCCGGCCUGAGAGGGUGGACGGCCACAUUGGGACUGAGAUACGGCCCAGACUCCUACGGGAGGCAGCAGUGGGGAAUAUUGCACAAUGGGCGCAAGCCUGAUGCAGCGACGCCGCGUGGGGGAUGACGGCCUUCGGGUUGUAAACUCCUUUCGCUAGGGACGAAGCUUUUUGUGACGGUACCUAGAGAAGAAGCACCGGCUAACUACGUG